UCUUGGGUAGUUCAAAAAUAUAACCCAAGAGAUGAACUCGAGACUUGGAAUUGGAUUUCCCUACAGAAGCCCUGCCUCUUCUUCUUCUUCUUCUUCUUCUUCUUCUUAUUCCAGUCGACACAGGGAAACCCUACAAUCCAAACCCUUUCUUAGAAUGGGAGAUAUUAUUCAUGUAGGCUUCUUCUUGAACUUGCUACGCCUCAAAGUGGAAUAGCGACUCCGGAAUGUUGGAACCCGAACCCGGAAAAUAUUUGGUUAUGUGGAUAGUGGGUGUUCAGUUCCAUCAUGCUUGAGCUUCAGAUUGAGAUCAAUCGCAAAUAAACAGAACAAAUAUGUCAUCUUUCCUUCAGAUGACGAUGAUGAUGACGAUUCUCACGUUGAUGACAAUAUAUGGUAUGGUAAAUUGUCUCCUAGUACCCUGCAGCGUCAAGUUUUUUGCCGGAUCAACAAGAUCUGAUUAUGAAUCAUCAGUUAUCAGAAACAGAGGAGUGAAUCGGUUGCUUACCUAACUACAGGGUAAAGUUUUGAAACCAGAGUGAAAUAUGGAUUCUCCACCAGGUUUCUCUUUGAAGCGGAAACGUGAACAUCGACGUAAGCAUGAUAAGUCAGAACAUGAAGAGAAUGCAACCGCAAAGCCUGGACCCGACAUCUUGAAGUCAAACAAACAGAGUACGAAUACAAGCAAGGUUGAGGUAGGUCAAGCAUUUAAUGGUGUUGUGGAAGAAUAUUUCUAUGGCGGGGUUCGAAUGAAGGUGAAGGUAGGAGAUACUGAGAUGAAGGGUGUUGCAUUUUAUCCCGUCCCUCCGCCAAAUGUUGUUCCCCCUGAUAUUAAGAUGGUGACGAGAAAGGACCUUGCUAUACCAGCCGUGCGUUCUUUACUUCAUCGCUCAGCACAAAGUAAUAGGCAACGUGCUGAGGUGAAAAAGGAGAAACCUGCAGAUCCUUAGAUGUGCUAGGCUUUUCGGUUUUUCAAUGUUUGUAACUUUGUGUUCCAAUUUCAGUUUGAACUUCUAUAAUGUUCAAGAUUUGCGACUUUGUUUGGGUUCCAGACAAUGAACAAGUUGCUACCGUUGGUUGUUGUUUA